ensembl:lncRNA
UUUGUAGCUGCUGUACAGAGCAAAGUACAGCACAACAUAGUAGGUUUUGUAAUAGCGUGCCUCUAAAUGCCAGGUAUUUCAGAUGUCAGGGAAAACAGCAGUUGACAGCUAUCCGCCAUGCCUGCAACACACCGGGCUUUUGCUCUCAUCUCUCUGCUGUCCUUCAGCGCAGCAGCACCAACAGUAGACGACUGCAAUCAGCUGACCCAGCCUCUGCAAGCUAACGAGCUUCACCAGGUACAGGUCUCUUCACCUCUAACCUCAGCUGUCUUUCUCCCUGACAAUAUGACAAAUAGGCCCAGAGUUGUUUUGUCAGUUACAGAGUUAUUCUAACUUUGGCUCUUCACACCUUCCCAAUGGAUUUAGGUUGAAGAAAAAUAUCAAUUACAGCCUGUUUUAAGAAAUACCUUCUUUUCAUGGGCUCAAAUGUGGUGGGAUGAUUGAUUCAAACCAUGUUUUGUGAACACUGGCAUUUGAAUAUGGAAGCUUUGGCUCUAAACAAAAUAAUGUAGUCAAAGGAACGGUCGCAAAAAACUGAGCUAUCAGACUGUGUGGGAUGUUUCAGGAAGUGGACCCAAACCCAGAUGUUGGGCACAGACUAACAAUCAGCAGUUAUAGUGACAAGAUAUUGCUGCAGACAAUGAUGCCUCUGCACACGGUACAUGUGUCAGUGCGAUAACACGAUUGGUCCCCAUGUGCCCAGAUGUGGCUAAUGAUUCGAAGUUUAACCAGAUUAACCUAAUUUGACAGGCAGCAUUUUAUUCAUGAUGAUAUUGUAGUGUUGUAUACAUUUGAGACCCAAAAAGUGAGACAAUGUAGAAAAGUGGCUGUUAUUUCACAACAGCUAAUGCAAUAUCUUUUCCUCUUUUUAAUUAUUUAAUUUCAUUAAAAGCAGCUUUUGUUUGCAGUUUCAUAAGAAAACAGUUGCAGUGACAUACAGAGGUAAAAUACCAAAAAUUGUAUCCAUAUUCAAACCUUUCUGAACCUAACUGUAAGUUCUUUCACCCUGAACAGAUCCUGGGUAGGUGGAUCUUUAUUCAGGGGCUUGCCAGUAACGGUAGCUUGGGAGACAGUUUGAGGUUUGUGGAAAGUACGUGGAUGGUGCUGAAUACAACAUCAGACAGUCGGACCCUGCAGGCAGAGAUAGCUGGCCGAGUGGUUCAACAGCUGGACGAGUCUGUUCAGCCACAAGUUCCAAAGAUGGAGGACGCCUCCAUCCCGACCAAUUCCCAGGGACCUGAGCUUUCUUCAAACCCUAGCUCCCACCCUGUCAGCAGUUCCACACCCCAUCUGGUCAUGAAUGUGGGAUCUCAGGCCAAAGUCUGCUGCACACAGGCAACCACACUCAAAGGAACUGCAAUGUUGCCUUUGUCGUUCAUCUACAUACGUCUGUUCCUUUGUGAAUCGCUAACAUCUGUUCAGAACUGAAUUCCCAGAGUUUUUCAUCAAUGUCACAUUUCUGGAGGGAUUUUUUUUAGGGUGUUCUGAGGCAGAGUUUUAGUAGACAAAGCUGAAAGGCUUGGACAUGAAUUGAGCUGCGGUUUGGGGAAGGCCUCGAAGGGGACUGGCGACGGCUCCCGGGCCUGGCAGAUCCCCAUGUACUAAAUAGAAGAGAAGAAGUUAAAGAAUUGAAAAGGCAAGGGAGGGCGUGGCACGUAAACGAGAAUGAACAGCUUGUAGAACUGGGGGAACAUAUUUAGAUAAGAACUGGAAGGAGCAUGUUUGGAGGUGUGGUCCCACCCCUGAAAUUCCAAUACUUCCAAUUUGCUAUACUGUUGGUAGAAAGCUGGUUGAUAUUGAAAUGAACUGAUUGCAACUUUAUAUAUAAACUAGUCUACUGUUGUUGCAUUAAGCAAUUUUUGUAUAUUCUUCAAAAAUUUCAUUUAAUCAGAAAGUGAAACUCUUGAGAUUAACAGUAUCUGUAGUAAGAGCAGUGGCAGAAGAAACCAGAACUCCCAGUGAACACCCACACAAGCAAACCCUACACAGAGAGGUCUACUCUGGGGGUAACCCAGGAACAGCAACAGCAAUGGUGGUCAUUACUGAGCCACCAUGCAGCCCUCAUUUGUGUUGAUUAAAAAAUGCCACAGAUUACUCUGUUUAGAACUCAGUCUUCUAAUAUUAAAGUCAAAUCGGGUUUGAAAGUGUCGGUCAAGGAUGCAUUCAGAUGGGAAAAACUUCAUCGGGCCAGGUGUGCAAGUCAGUAUUCCUUUUGGUGUCUCAUUAUCAAUCCAGAUGAAAUUUUAAUGUUGCCAUUUUCCACUUCUUCUGCUUGAUCAUUGUUUUAGGGAGGAUCGCUGCCUCAGGAAUGUUCAGAACAUGUCCCUAGUUGAUGGCAAAGACUUAGAGUUCUACAGUAAGUUGCUUCAGUGAAUAACAUACAGUAUGUACACGUGUAAUCAGAUCAGUUACAUCUGUCACUCAGGUCUGUGGGGUUUGUCACAGUACAAUUUGCAUGCUCAGUUUAUCAGAAUUGUUAUCCUCCCAUCAUGAAUGCUUGUGUUUUGUUGCACAGUGAAAAUUGCCAGUUCCUAUCACAGGUUCCUGCAGACCUGCCCUGACUGUCUGCUCAUGCAUACCUACUAUAAAGUAGCCAGUCACCAAAUGUUCUACUUGUUUGGUAAGUAUGAGCAGUGAUGGAGCAUUUACUAAAAGAACUGACAAGUAAAACAGUAAAAUAUUUACUUGAUGGACUAUUAAUUGUAUAUUUUAACUGUAAUUAACGAGUGAACAGCAUUUCACUGUUGUAGUCAUCUGACAAUUCUUUGACUAUUUUAAAGGGUGGAAGGGUGGACUACUUUGGCAUUCAACUCAUCAUUCCUUUUAGUAUCUCGCUGUCAUACUUGUGAAGAAGUAAGAAAAGAAUAUAAAAAUCCCCAAACCAAUGAGAAAUUAGUUGUAGAGCCCAGUAUGGAUUUUCACAAAUGGAUUUUUCUACAACAAGGUAAUCAUUUUAAUAUUCAUCAAAUAGAAUAUAAUUGUUUUCCAUCUAAAUUGUAGCCAUGUUUGACUACAAAGUAGCUUGAAUUCUGGACUGGACUGGGACAAAAAGUUAUCCCGCGCGUUUUGACUAGAGAACCACAAAGCCAUAAAACCUUUGAAUGAAAACAAACGCUGUUGUGACAGUGAUGUACAGUGUCUUGUUGGUAUAUAUGUAUGAUUUCUAUACAUUUUACAUCAGAUGAUGUAAAAAACAACAAAACAACCAUCACUUUGGUUGCUUUGAGAAUAAUAGAUUGCUGAAUAUACAUUAGAGCUAAAGAGACUGUAUUUUAGGGUGGCUUGCAAAAUUAUAAUAUGGAGCUUGCUAGUGUGUAAGAAUACAAACAGAAAAGGCCUGGAAUGUGAACAAUGAACUGGGAAGAAUUAACCCCCACCCCCAGGAAAGAAGCAAGAGUUACUGCAAGAGUUACUGAGGGUGAGGGGCAGACAAAUAACAAAAGGGCACUACCUUAAAAGGAGUUGGGGGUCAGGGUGUCAGCACCCCUGGCUGCUGUACCAGUGUUUUUCCAUUGUGGGGGUGUUUACUAUAGAGAUUGACAGACCACGUGACUUUCAACCGUUGCUUUGUGGGUACCCGUGGCAACAAAAUCAAAACACUGCAUCAAGCGCUAGUAUUUCCAGCACCGGUAAUCAUUAAUUCUGUGGUUUUAAUCCCUACUUGCAUUUUACUUGCCCCAAAAACAGUUAUGUACAAAACAACAGAGAACACGGCAGGUCCAUACAAAGGCAAAAAAAAAAAGGACGAGGAAAAACUCAAAGGAGUAAAAGGGUGAGACCAGGGGUGGGCAAUCUCAGUCCUCAGGGCCGGUGUCCCUGCAGGUUUUAGAUCUCGCCUUGGGUCAACACACCUGAAUCACAUGAUUAGUUCGUUACCAGGCCUCUGGAGAACUUCAGGACAUGUUGAGGAGCUAAUUUAGCCAUUUAAAUCAGCUGUGUUGGUUCGAGGACACAUCUAAAACCUGCAGGGACACCGGCCCUCGUGGACUGAGAUUGCCCACCCCUGGGUCAGACCCAUACGAGCAUACAGAGUGGAGUAAGGACGUUAGCGUGCUGCCCAACUUUUAUCACGGACAUAUUUAUUAUUAUAUGGUCCUAAGUGUGAGUGCAUACACUCACAAGAUGUUUAUUAACUUCAGAUCCCUGCAACAAGCCCAGGUCCAGUUUACUUUGGUGAUUUGGACGAUUCCAUUUCACAGCUGUUGUUACAUUUUUUUCCUUUAUCUCCUGUACAGGCCAACGCAUCUAUUUGUCGUUUCAGGUUGUAGUAUUACACAACAUUUUCAGAUCUAAAAGAAAUAAAAUGAGUGUUUCGUAAUUCAUUCAAUUUAUUGUCUUUAUUUUUAACUGGCAUUAUUGUUUCAUUCUAUUAUAGAAUCUUACAAGAAAGAGGCAAAAUUGUAUUCCAUUAUGCUUUAUUAGCUGCUUUAGUGAAAAACAAAUCAACAAUGCAAAAAAAAAAACCAUUGCAAAACAACAUACUGGAAAACAGUUAUUCAUCACUUGAUUGCAUCAAUACAACCCUUGGGCACAUAUAUGCAGACUUUUCGUGGCUGUUUUGAUAUCGCUCUCUCUCUUAACCGAUCAAAUCUCGCUGUAGUAGCAGCUUUAAACUCAGUCUGACCCAGGGUGAUAGAGGUGCCCAGUCUGCAUCCCAUUCCAGCAUUUUGUAGGCUGGUUUUCCUACAAAACACAACAAACAUUAGCCCGCAAAGCCACAGUGAACAAAGCAACAUAGCGCAACAAAUUCAAUUCAAAUCAAUAUAAGACUUAUUUGUAACCUACAUCAACAAUUAUGUUAUGAUAAAUUACGUAAUAACUACAACAGAAGACGUACCUUUGUGGAAAUGCUUGGAGCAGACUAACAUGUGAGCUGGAGUGUUCUGGGACGUUAUAUUUGGUCUUCGAAUGGCUGCAAUCCAGGUCAUCCGUCGGCUCUUUGUUACUUCAGAAACAUGGCUUGAACAAUUUCUCUUCCACGAUGUAAUCUGAUAAAAGCCGAUCUCUUUACCCGUCGGCUUCCCAUGGCUGUCAUGCGACUGGCUAUUGCAGUUAAUAAUACAACACCUUCUUGCCAUUUUUUGUGUUUCUUUUUAUCGCUGUGUGACUGUUUUCAUGUGAAAGCCUGCGUGCGCUUGUACCGCUUGCCACUCGUUUCCAGAAUCCUUUGCGGUUUUACCCAUGAAUGACGUCACAUUUUCAAUCUCUAUAGGAGGAGGAUACCAGAGACUAAAACUGUAGCUGUUGUGUUGAAUUCUUGAGAUCAGCCUUUAGAAUAGGACUGCUAACAAAAGGAUUGUGUGAAACUUGGAAACAUCUCUGCGUGAUCUCUACCAAGACAAAAGGAUCAGAGAGAGCGGCGUUGUCUCCCACAGAAUGAGAAUAAGAAAUGUACUUCUUUGUGCCCCCCUUUCCCUGUUAAUGCCCUACCUGCCCCCCUGGCAAAACUUUGCUAGACCCGCCCCUGCACAGUUACCAGCUGUCAGCUACAUAGAAAAAGGAUCCUGGUGUUAUUUGUCUCUCAGAAACAGUUCAUAACUUCCCUUCAACUCAUUCAUGUCACCUAAAAGGUAAACCUGUUUCUCCAUCACCUGUUCAGCUCUGAUGAUUCAGUAAGGACAUCUCCUGAUUUCAUCUGCAUGUUUCCCUCCAGCAAACAUCAGCUGAUACUAGACAGUAAUAUUAAAUCAAUUAAAUAAAUUAUUUAAUAAAUAAAUUAAAUAAACAACUUAUCAAGCUUAAACGUGCUGCUGUUUAUCCGCUGGUUUCCUCUUUCUGGCGCAAAGUGGGCGAUAAACAAACAAGAGAGACGGGACUUGCGACAGAAAAGCCAAUCAGCUGAUCAUUGAUCAGUUUUUGAAGUAGCAGUAAUUGAAGUAGCAGCAGGAGAGGAAGAGGAGAGAGUGAGAGAAGAAGAAGCUGUGCAGCGGAAGACACAGAUUAACUCCAGCUUUGUGUCUUUUUUUCAUUCUAGCUGAAGUACUGGUCCUCUUCACCUCAAUAGCAUUUUCUUCUGUUUGUCUGUGAUAAGACUGCUUUCAGAGCCGUUGCCCAAGCAAGGGGGAGGGUGUAUCCGACCUCCUCGGCUGUAAAUUGUCCAGCCCAGAGUCGAUCAUGACCAACUGGCCAAUCGACCACCUUUCAUUGUUUAUACCGUUACAAAAACCCAUAAAAACUAAAAAUGACCAUACCCCUUUGUGCCCAAUACUCAGUCACAGUACUUCAAAAACACAAUUACAUUCCAUUUCUUUUAAAAGUUUCCUGUGUCAUUUUUUUUUAAUUUAGCAAAAUUCAAUUCACUUUUAUUUAUAUAGCACCAAAUUGCAACAAUAGUUGUCUCAACGCACUUAAAAGAGUGUGAGAAAAGGACAAACAAAAGGGUUUUUUACACCUGGCCGUGCAGACUGCCCUCCAUGUGCUAUACAAACUGAGUACUGGCAAAUACAUUUACCUAACAUGUCUUGCUUCUGUUUGUUGUUAUUUCAUAAAAUUGUUAUACAACACAUCUAUGUUAAUUGUAGCAGGUUUAUAUUGUAACAGAAAUUGUAACAUUUAAGUAACCAGGAGGCUAACUGAAGCUGUCAAAUAAGUGCAACAUAGAGUAAACUCUUUUAAGUAGUGGAGGUAGUGCUUCAAGGAGGCAGCUGCCCGAUCACACAAAACAAACAAAAUACACUUUAGGAGUCAACCAUCCUCGAACACUAGUGUGAACACAAUACAUUCUAAUGGUGCUUUUCCUGCUGUUGUUCUCUGCAGGGAGGAACAAGACCGUGACAGCUUCUGAUUUAGAGACCUUCAGAAAACAAGGUGAAUGCCUCAGGUUUCCCACGACACCAAAGUUUAACUACGACCCUAACAAUGAACUGUGUCCUGUGGAGGAAAAGAAGUCAGAAUCCACACCUCAACAAAACCUCCACUAACAGAGUUCUUAAUAACACUGCCACUGCUAUCGUCAAACUUACGCUGUUGAUUGGUUUUUACUCAUGAUUUAAUUGAGAGAAAUUUGAGAAGUUUGAAUGUCCAAACUGUUAAGUGCUUUUCUAAAAAAUUUUGGUUCAGGUUUUGACCCGCCUACUAGACUCUAUGUGAUUCCUGAUAGCUUAGCCAACAUGAAUGGGACAGGAAAUUUAUGUUUACUUCAGUGUCAUAUCCAUCCAUCCACCCAUCCGAAGCUUAGAUGGUCAGCUUGAUAUCUAAAAAACUGAGUUAAUUAUAAACAAGUGUUUAUCUUGGUAGAUUUUAUGCACAGAUUAAAGUUUUUUUUUAAAAAGGCAUUUAAUGCUAUUUUAACCCAAAUUUACACCAUUAGUCAACUGCAUAAACCACUUUCAUAAGGGAGGAAUGGUUUGCACACUUGAUCAAUGCUCACCCAUUGGCUGGGAGCCAGAGAGGGAUCUGCCUGAGAAAUUGAUCAAGUGAUUGUAUGACUAGCUACAGUUAUAUAGCAGUAACCUGACAAUCAAGCUGAAAGCAUAUGCUGCUUUACUGUCCAUUUAGACUGUAAUGGGUUAUUUUGUUAUACAUCACAAAAUAACCAUGACGUAAACUGUCUUCACUAAUACCUGAAACCAGAAAAUCAAAUAAUAAACUCCAAAUAAAUGAUAAAAUCUGAAAAGUGUUUCUGACAUCAGUGGUCAUGGAAGCCAAAGGCAAGACAACUGGCCGUUUCUUUGGAACGACAGCAGUUGCACCACAUUGGUCAUUACAAAUACUUCAAAUUUAUACAUGAUUUUUUCCUGAUAUUCUAACCAUGUGUUUGGUCAAAAUAUUUUGAGACAAGAAUCUGUCAGAACUUUUGUAAUUAUAUUUCUCUCUUAUUGUGUUUUGUUUCACCAGUGCAUGUGUGAUUUUUUUCCCCCUGUGCAUUUCCAAACCGAUGGUUAAAGUGGCCGGUAUUGUCAACUAACUCUUCUGGCUCUCUUGCUUCUUUCGUGUUUGGCAUUUUUUACCAUUAUUUUUUAAAAAUAUCAAGAGCUAAUAGAAAUCAGAUGAGUAAACAGCAGAGAGCAAUCAGGAUCAUCUGUUUAUCAAGACACUGGAUCAUCCUCCAAAUUAAGGCCGUUACUGGUGCCGACUGCAGCCCCAUCGUAUUCAAAGGCCUCGUCUCUUUGAACGCCACAGAACUGACCGUUUGGACUUUGCAAGAGAGAAAGAAAGUUUUAUUCUCUGAUGAGAAAAAAUGUAACCUUGAUGGUCCUGAUGGUUUCCAAUGUUACUGGCAUGACAAGUAGAUAUUUUCUAUGCUCCACAGUGGAGGGGGCACCAUAAUGGUCUGGGGUGCUUUUUCCUUCAGUGGAACAAUAAAGUUAAAGGAGGUGCAGGGGCGUCAAACAGCUGCUGGCUAUGUCCAGAUGUUGCAGAGAGCAUCCGUUAUGACUGAGGGCCCUCGUCUGCGUGGUAACGACUGGAUGUUUUUUUUAACAGGACAACGCUACACAGUGUUGGGAAGGUUACUUUUAAAAUGUACUCCACUACAGAUCACAGAAUACAUGGCCCAAAAUAUAUUUUAUAACGUAUUCCGUUAGUUACUCAAUGAGAGUAACGUAUUCUAAAUACUUUGGAUUACUUAAUAUAUUGUCAUGCUUUUUACAACUACUUUUUUCUUAAAUAAAUCUACUACAUCAUGUGUAUUUUUUAUGUCAUGUGUAAUUUUCAUUGCAAAGAGUAAUCGCAGUUAAAUUAAGAGGGGAUAGAGCUGUGAUGUCAUCAAGUACACUGCCGUUCCAAUUGUAGAACGAUCGUGCUGCGUUCUCGGGAAGUCUGGACUCCCGUGUGAACUUAGGAAGUCCAGAGGAGUGAGAAUAUCCUGUGGUAUGAGGUCCAGUUAAUAGCAUUCUCCUGUUCUAACUGCUUCAGACAUCUAUCACCCUCUUCCUGUAAGC